rnacentral:rRNA from 1 species
GACGAACGCUGGCGGCGCGCUUAACACAUGCAAGUCGAACGGAAAGGCCUGCUUUCCCUUGUGGAUUGCGGGUACUCGAGUGGCGAACGGGUGAGUAACACGUGAGUGAUCUGCCCCCAACUUGGGUAUAAGCCUGGGAAACUGGGUCUAAUUCCCGAUAGGACUGCAGGGUGGUGCCUGUGGUGGAAAACGAUUUACUAGUGGUUGGGGAUGAGCUCGCGGCCUAUCAGCUUGUUGGUGGGGUAAUGGCCUACCAAGGCGGCGACGGGUAGCCGGCCUGAGAGGGUGGACGGCCACAUUGGGACUGAGAUACGGCCCAGACUCCUACGGGAGGCAGCAGUGGGGAAUAUUGCACAAUGGGCGGAAGCCUGAUGCAGCGACGCCGCGUGGGGGAUGACGGCCUUCGGGUUGUAAACUCCUUUCGACCGCGAGGAAGCCACCUGGUUGGAAGGGUGGUGACGGUAGUGGUAGAAGAAGCACCGGCUAACUACGUG